rnacentral:rRNA from 1 species
GGAGUUAGCCGGUGCUUCUUCUGUGAGUGAUGUCCUUCCUGCCGGCUAUUAACCCGCAGGCCUUCUUCCUCACUGAAAGUGCUUUACAACCCGAAGGCCUUCUUCACACACGCGGCAUGGCUGGAUCAGGGUUGCCCCCAUUGUCCAAUAUUCCCCACUGCUGCCUCCCGUAGGAGUCUGGGCCGUGUCUCAGUCCCAGUGUGGCUGAUCAUCCUCUCAGACCAGCUACGGAUCGUCGCCUUGGUGAGCCGUUACCUCACCAACCAGCUAAUCCGACAUAGGCUCAUCCGAUAGCGCGAGGCCCGAAGGUCCCCCGCUUUCCCCCGUAGGGCGUAUGCGGUAUUAGCCUGGGUUUCCCCCAGGUUAUCCCCCACUACCGGGCAGAUUCCUAUGCAUUACUCACCCGUCCGCCGCUCGCCACCAGGGAGCAAGCUCCCCGUGCUGCCGCUCGACUUGCNUGUGUAGCUGCGCCAGCGUCAUCUGAGCGAGAUACAACUACUGA